rnacentral:rRNA from 1 species
GACGAACGCUGGCGGCGUGCUUAACACAUGCAAGUCGAACGGAAAGGCCCUUCGGGGUCCUCGAGUGGCGAACGGGUGAGUAACACGUGGGUGAUCUGCCCUGCACUUUGGGAUAAGCCUGGGAAACUGGGUCUAAUACCGAAUAGGACCACGCGCUUCAUGGUGUGUGGUGGGAAGCUUUUGCGGUGUGGGAUGGGCCCGCGGCCUAUCAGCUUGUUGGUGGGGUAAUGGCCUACCAAGGCGACGACGGGUAGCCGGCCUGAGAGGGUGACCGGCCACACUGGGACUGAGAUACGGCCCAGACUCCUACGGGAGGCAGCAGUGGGGAAUAUUGCACAAUGGGCGCAAGCCUGAUGCAGCGACGCCGCGUGAGGGAUGACGGCCUUCGGGUUGUAAACCUCUUUCAAUAGGGACGAAGCGCAAGUGACGGUACCUAUAGAAGAAGCACCGGCCAACUACGUG